rnacentral:lncRNA from 1 species
AGGCUUCCCAGAGCGAGAAAACUCCCACCUGGCUUCACGGGCUUCUCAAGCUGAGUUUUGAUUCUGACAUCUCUCUGCUUUCUGGAGUGCCCUGGAUAGUGGCCCAGUGAAAAUACCCAAAAGAUGGACUAGAAGUUUCUGUUUCACACACAGGCACAGGGCUGGAGUUUUCCAAGCAGCGGAGACUCGCUUGGGCUACAAUCCUGAUACAGCGCCUCUUCAGGAGUCCUUCAGCAUGCCUGCUCCUGAACUACAUUUGGAAGAGAGGCAUGCUGGUACCCAAGCGUGUGGAUCCACUUCCAGUGGUGAUGUCAAAACUAUGUCUCUAGUACCAGUCCCACUCACAUUGCCAAGUUCCUGCUGGCAUUGCCAUGUAAGUGAAUGGAACCUCAGGAAACUUAGUGGAAGCACACUGCAGUCUUUACCCAGAAGUCAUGGAUAUCUGUGCUCCUAAUCUUUACAAGAAGUGUCAUCAUUUGUCCAUUUGAGCAAGUCUUGAUGUGCAGUCCAGGCUGAUGUAUAACUUGGUAUAUAGACCAGACUGGUCUCAACGUGGCGACAAUCCUCCCGCCUUACCUCCUGAGUGCUGGGGACCACGCCAGCCUGCUUUCCUCUGCCGUUUGCCUCCGGUGUGUGUCAUCUUGAUGAAGCCUGACUAUCAGUGUAUCUCCUUUAUCAGUUUCCAAGGAUCUUGUCAGCAAGAACAGGGUGUUUUCCUGCUUAUUCAUGUCCUCAGUCCAGGCCUUGACCUGAGCUUAGUAUGUGUUUGAAAUGUGACAAACUCUGGCAACUUAAAAAUUUGGCACCCUGUAAGCAAACACAGAGAGGACAUGUUUUCUCCCCACUUUGGAUUUUCAAUACACUCAAUUUCAUGAACCUC